rnacentral:ncRNA from 1 species
CAAAAGCUUGGUCCUGACUUUAUUAUCAAUUUUGAUUGAAUUUACACAUGCAAGUAUCCGCGUCCCCGUGAGAAUGCCCUAAUUUUCAAAAACUGAAAAAAGGAGCAGGCAUCAGGCACGAUAACAAUCAGCCCAGUACGCCUUGUUAAGCCACACCCCCAAGGGAAACAGCAGUGAUAAACGUUAAGCAAUAAGUGAAAACUUGACUUACUUAAGAUCAGAAAGGAUUGGCCAAACUCGUGCCAGCCGCCGCGGUUAUACGAGAGAUCCAAAUUGACAAAACCCGGCACAAAGAGUGGUUAAUUGAAUAAUUCUAAGGCAGAACACCCUCGAAGCCGUUAUACGCACUUGAGCACAGGAAAAUCUUCCACGAAAGUGGCCUUAAAACAAAUGACCCUACGAAAGUUAGGACACAAACUGGGAUUAGAUACCCCACUAUGCCUGACCCUAAACAUUGGUGCACAGUUGCACUCGCCAGGGAACAACGAGCCCAGCUUAAAACCCAAAGGACUUGGCGGUGCUUUAGACCCACCUAGAGGAGCCUGUUCUAGAACCGAUACCCCCCGUUAAACCUCACCCCCUCUUGUUUAUCCCGCCUAUAUACCGCCGUCGUCAGCUUACCCUUCAAAGGUUUAAUAGUAAGCAGAAUUGGCUUACGCCAAAACGUCAGGCCGAGGUGUAGCGUACGAGGGGGGAAGAAAUGGGCUACAUUUACUACUUUAGUAAAAACGAAUAAUGCUAUGAAAUAAGUGUUUGAAGGUGGAUUUAGCAGUAAGAAGAAAAUAGAGUGUUCGUCUGAAAAAGGCCCUGAAGCGCGCACACACCGCCCGUCACUCUCCCCUAAUAGUCAAUAUAAUAAAUAAAAAGAAUUUUAAAAAUAAGGGGAGGCAAGUCGUAACAUGGUAAGUGUACCGGAAGGUGCACUUGGAAAAA